rnacentral:rRNA from 1 species
GACGAACGCUGGCGGCGUGCCUAAUACAUGCAAGUAGAACGCACAGUUUAUACCGUAGCUUGCUACACCAUAGACUGUGAGUUGCGAACGGGUGAGUAACGCGUAGGUAACCUGCCUGGUAGCGGGGGUAACUAUUGGAAACGAUAGCUAAUACCGCAUAAUAUUAAUUAUUGCAUGAUAAUUAAUUGAAAGGUGCAAUUGCACCACCACCAGAUGGAACUGCGUUGUAUUAGCUAGUAGGUGAGGUAACGGCUCACCUAGGCGACGAUACAUAGCCGACCUGAGAGGGUGAUCGGCCACACUGGGACUGAGACACGGCCCAGACUCCUACGGGAGGCAGCAGUAGGGAAUCUUCGGCAAUGGACGAAAGUCUGACCGAGCAACGCCGCGUGAGUGAAGAAGGUUUUCGGAUCGUAAAGCUCUGUUGUAAGAGAAGAACGGGUGUGAGAGUGGAAAGUUCACACUGUGACGGUAUCUUACCAGAAAGGGACGGCUAACUACGUG